CUUCUUCGUCUGUCUGAUCUGCUUUCUGUUUGCCUCAAUUAUUUUCACUUCUCAAAACUACCUGACCUCAUGGAUAGUCAUGACAGCCGAAGACAGGGCGAAGAGAAGUCUUUUCGCGCUUUCGUGUAAUUGCGGCCUUCCACUCGGCUCCGUUCCGUCCUCAGGCUGGCUCCGGCAUUCCGUGUGCAAACUUCUCCGGCUCUCCCGGAUUCGCCACUGGAUGCCCUGACGAUCGUUCACGGUUUUCAUUAUGUUUUCCUCUGACAAAAGCUCGUCGUGGAAGGUUCCUUUUUUCACCACUUCCUGGGCUGCAGUAUGCGACGGAGUGCCCGCCGGCUUCGCCGGGCUUCCACCAUCUUCCCCGCGUUCUGUUUUUUCGAGUUCGCCGCUCUUUUGCUCUGACAGCACUAGGAAUGAUUUCAGUUGACGAAGGCCCCUUAGAAGACCCCACGUCAAUUACUGUGGCAACUUGGUUGUCGCGUGCACGAGUAGCCGACGCCUUGGCUAUGCCCACUACAUAGCGAACAAAAUGACGAGAAUCUGUUCUUGUUUGCUGCAUAAAGGAGGCAAGGUUAUGCCUGAUUGUCCGAUGGAAGUGCUUGUGCACUGAAAGAAGUUUGGAGGCCCAAGGAUGGAAAACAGGUGCGAAAGGUACCCGGAGACAGAGAAAGAAACUCAGAGGAGGCAUAGUCUCGAGGAAAGAAAAAAACUGACGCCUGAUAAAAAGUCAGUGCGAGUCAAAACAGCUGCAUGUGACAAGCCUGCGAUGCUGCUGCACCGAAGACCUCUGUCGUCUCUUCACAACCACCUCGACUUGAAGCUCUGGAAGUGAAAGAAACGCAUUUCAGGAUAACCUGAAUACCCGAUCUCUCAUGUCUACUAGUUGAAUAUGGAAAACUGUACUUGCACACGACCACGGAGCACUUCGCUCGUAGGUAACUACAUUUUAUGUCAAAACGAAGCAGCACGACUUUCCAUUCAAGGAUGGUAGUAUUCCUUCGUGGAGAAAAAAUCAAACAAAACAGCUUAAGGUUGUACUCAUCAAAUUGUCAAUUUAGACUGGAGUGAUUAUGUCAGGGGGGCGGGAUGUGGGCCUCCCUCUGUGUGCGCGCCGAAAAUGAGAAACCGGCUUCUCGGGAGGAUGUCAGAAGAGCAACGUUCUGCCACGAGGGGAGGAUCCGAGAAAGAAGCUUUAUGAAAUAUCCGAAGCCAGCUACAGCAUUGAUGGUCUCUUCAGUAUGAAGUCACACAUCUAGCAACAAGCGACGAUAUAGCAUUCCUUUUCGUCUCUUCCACGCCAAUUUGAAACAGUUCGCCUCCGUCUCGCUUCCCCGACGUGUGAGUCACGUACGUCGCCGCGACUUUUUCCGGAGAAACGAACACUUUACGUGUGAGAGCUUCUUAUUUCAAUCAGUCAUGUGUGUCACAAGUUUUAUGCUGGGGCAGCGGUGAACCGGACUAUUUCCGUGUAACUGUAUACGCCGAACGACUCGACCAUGAGAACUGGCAGUGCCUGCCAAUAUUAUGUAUGAAAACGGCAUAUCUUUCGAAAGGUUGUUUCACAGUGUGAUUGUCUACAGCGGUCACGUGAAAUGGGUGGGCACAUUUCUGUGAAGGGGAUAGGUUAUUCCGAUCACGCCCAAGUGCUAUCACUAUCCCGCACAGUACGGUUGUGGAUAAGGGCUUCUUAAAGGAGAAGCUCUUUUUGUUCCGUGGCGAAAAAAGGCUAUUGUGCCCUCUUUCGGCACUCCCGUAGCAUAUUUCGGGGCACGCAAACUCAUUCUUCGUUAGUCAGUCUUUUGAGAUCCU
rnacentral:lncRNA from 1 species